rnacentral:rRNA from 1 species
CUAAGAAUCUUGCGAAUGGGCGAAAGCCUGACGCAGCAACGCCGCGUGAAGGACGAAGCCCUCGGGUCGUAAACUUCUUUUGCGAGGGAAGCGGUACCUCGCGAAUAAGCCACGGCUAACUACGUGCCAGCAGCCGCGGUAAUACGUAGGUGGCAAGCGUUGUCCGGAUUUACUGGGCGUAAAGAGCCCGCAGGCGGUCCAAUAAGUUCCUGGUGAAAUCUCCCGGCUCAACCGGGAGGGUGCCUGGAAAACUGUUGGACUUGAGGCAGGGAGAGGGAUGUGGAAUUCCCGGUGUAGUGGUGAAAUGCGUAGAUAUCGGGAGGAACACCAGUGGCGAAGGCGGCAUCCUGGCCUGUCCUGACGCUCAGGGGCGAAAGCGUGGGGAGCAAACCG